UUUCCCAUUUGACUACCACUUUUUCUGUUAAUAAUAGAAGUUAGUGGCUAUGCUUAUGGGAUAGAUGAAAAUUGCCAUGAUCUGAAGAGGGAGGAUUUUUGUGUGUAUCCUCCUCCUAUAUGAAAUGGCUGAACAGAAAACU
rnacentral:snoRNA from 1 species